AAUCAACGCUGGCGGCGUGCCUCAGACAUGCAAGUCGAACGCGAAAUUUCCCUUCGGGGAGAAAGUAGAGUGGCGCACGGGUGAGUAACACGUAGGUAAUCUGCCUUUGGGUGGGGAAUAACUCAGGGAAACUUGAGCUAAUACCGCAUAAUGCAGCGGCUCGACAUCGAGACAGUUGUUAAAGCGGGGAUCGCAAGACCUCGCGCCUGAAGAGGAGCCUGCGGCAGAUUAGGUAGUUGGUGAGGUAACGGCUCACCAAGGCGACGAUCAGUAGCUGGUCUGAGA
rnacentral:rRNA from 1 species